UACGUAGGGUGCGAGCGUUGUCCGGAAUUAUUGGGCGUAAAGAGCUCGUAGGCGGUUCGUCGCGUCGGCUGUGAAAACCUGAGGCUCAACCUCAGGCCUGCAGUCGAUACGGGCGGACUUGAGUACUGCAGGGGAGACUGGAAUUCCUGGUGUAGCGGUGGAAUGCGCAGAUAUCAGGAGGAACACCGGUGGCGAAGGCGGGUCUCUGGGCAGUAACUGACGCUGAGGAGCGAAAGCGUGGGGAGCGAACAGG
rnacentral:rRNA from 1 species